rnacentral:sRNA from 1 species
UAGUAAGAUAGGAUACAGAUGCAAACUU